rnacentral:lncRNA from 1 species
AUGGCUAGGAACAUUUCGGUGGACCAGGGGCCCGAUGGUUACUUCAUCUUCCUCGUUUUCAGUGCUUGCAGAAUGGAAAUACACCACCGGCAACGGAGGCGAAGGAGGACGGUUCGCAUGAGGAUCCUCAACGCUAUAGGGUGGUGGGUCCUCAGCAUAGGGGGGAGGACUGUCAGGGAAGAAAGACAGUCCCGGUGGAGGAGGAGGAGGCGGAGGGAAAAGGUCUUCGUAGUUGAACGAGUUUCUGUUGUUGAGCAUGCCUCUAAGCCAGAGGGCUCUCUGCCGACGCUGCUGCCUGUCUUUGCAAUGGUCUCAAAGGGCUGGUCUGUCGCCACGGGCGUGGGUCGCUGAGGGUGGGUGACACCAGCCGGGUUGGGAAGGGCGCGGCGGCACCGGCGCCAGUCCAGGCGGGCCUCUCCCCUUGAGCAGCAGAAAGGGAGGCGGCAAUUCCCGCAACAGUACUUGGCCUCCGCUCUGUCGUGACGCUGCGGACACUGGAACGCCCCACCGGCCCGAGAUGUUUCGCCGUACCUCCAGGCUCGGCAGAGUUCGCCCUCCUUCCCCCUGACAGAGGGGUUCCCCCCAGCCCAAAGCAAGGGGAGCCAGCAGAGGAGAACCUGCUGCCCGGCAUGCAUCUUCCUUCAGGCGGUAACCCCGUCCAGGCAGUGCCUCCCCCCUCUCCAAGGUUCACCCGAUCCCUGGGUCCGAGUUACUGCAACAUCCCCCUGCCCAGCCAGCACGACGUUCCUCUUAUCCCCGUUCAUGCUAGUCUUUAAAUCCCUCCAGACGUGCCUCUCCUUGAUGAGACUGUUCCCGCAAACCCACCGCACCUGCCCCGGCCCUGAUCCGCCCACCCACAAAGCCCCCUCUCAUUGCUAGCACCUUUCCUCCAUCUGGGAAGGCACCAUGGAUCCAGUCCCUACUCGUGUUCCAAUGGGGAGGCAGCCCGUUGACAUACUUGGAAGGGAACCUCGGUGUUUCCGACUGGAUUCUCCUACACAGAGGGAAAGUUCUACCGAGGAGCCUUAGCCUUCCUCUUUCCCGAGGGUCUCUGCAGGCUUACUCAGGAGCAAGAACCUCAGAAGCUGGGCAGCUCAGUGGUCAAGCCAAGGCUGCGAGUUCAAUUCCCCAGUGUGUGCCUCUUUGACCGGCUGGGCUCCACGAUUCUUCCAGGGUUCCUUCCAGCUCUGCAGUUCUAAGAUGAUCAAGAACCUAGAACUGCUGGAUAGCUCAGGGGUUUAGGGAUAUAGUUUGCAGAGCCAAAGAUUGGGAGUUCGAUUCCGCCUCCCUAGUUUGCAGAG